rnacentral:rRNA from 1 species
GACGAACGCUGGCGGCGUGCUUAACACAUGCAAGUCGAACGAAGUGGCGAACGGGUGAGUAACGCGUAAUCAACCUGCCCUUAAGAGGGGGACAACAGGUGGAAACGACUGCUACUACCGCAUACUGAAGCAGGGGGUUGCGUCUGAUUAGCUAGUUGGCGGGGGAACGGCCCACCAAGGCGAUGAUCAGUAGCCGGGCUGGGAGGAUGAACGGCCACAUGUGGACUUGGACACGGCCCAGACUCCUACGGGAGGCAGCAGUGGGGGAGCUUCCGCAAUGGACGAAAGUCUGACGGAGCAACGCCGCGUGAGUGAUGACGGCCUUCGGGUUGGAAAGCUCUGUUAAUCGGGACGCGGUACCGGAAUAGAAAGCCACGGCUAACUACGUGCCAGCAGCCGCGGUAAUAC